rnacentral:rRNA from 1 species
UACAGAGGGUGCGAGCGUUAAUCGGAAUUACUGGGCGUAAAGCGCGCGUAGGCGGCUUUGCAAGUCGCGUGUGAAAUCCCUUGGCUCAACCAAGGAAGUGCGCGCGAAACUGGCGAGCUCGAGUGCCGGAGAGGGUCGCGGAAUUCCCGGUGUAGAGGUGAAAUUCGUAGAUAUCGGGAGGAACACCAGUGGCGAAGGCGGCGACCUGGACGGACACUGACGCUGAGACGCGAAAGCGUGGGGAGCAAACAGG